AGAGAGAGACAUGCGCGCAUAUCAAUAAGCGGAGGAAAAGAAACUAACAAGGAUUCCCUUAGUAACGGCGAGUGAAGCGGGAAGAGCUCAAAUUUGAAAUCUUCAAGGUUUUACCUUGACGAAUUGUAGUUUAAAGAAGUGUUUUCUGCUGAAGUUUUGGUAAAAGUUCUUUGGAAUAGGACAUCAUAGAGGGUGAGAAUCCCGUAUUUGACCAUUAUUUUCAGCUUUGUGAUACACUUUCAAAGAGUCGGAUUGUUUGGGAAUGCAGUCCAAAAUGGGUGGUAAAUUUCAUCUAAAGCUAAAUAUUGGCGAGAGACCGAUAGCGAACAAGUACCGUGAGGGAAAGAUGAAAAGAACUUUGAAAAGAGAGUUAAACAGUACGUGAAAUUGUCAAAAGGGAAGCGUUUGACACCAGUGCUGUUUUCUCGAAAAUCAAUUAAAAAUGGCUCGAUUUUGUAUUGUUGAGACCUUAAAAGCUCACUGUACAUUUUUCGUGUCUUUUUUAAUGCACUUUUCGUUUAACAAGUCAACAUCAGUUUCUUUGUUGUAAAAGGGUCAUUGGAAGGUGGCUUUCUUUUCGGAGAAAGUGUUUAUAGCCUUUGGCCUCUGCAAUCGGAGAGACUGAGGUCUGCAGCGUAGACUCUUCGGGGUUAGAUACAUUUGUGCUAAGUCAUAGCUUUUUAUAGGCAACUUGUUGACUAUAAUUAGUCUUGUAGCUUACUCGCUUAUGCUUAUUUUACCUACGCUUAGGAUGUUGAGUCGUAGAGCACGCAG
rnacentral:rRNA from 1 species